rnacentral:rRNA from 1 species
AACGACUCUCGGCAACGGAUAUCUUGGCUCUCGCAUCGAUGAAGAACGCAGCAAAAUGCGAUACUUGGUGUGAAUUGCAGAAUCCCGUGAAUCAUCGAGUUUUUGAACGCAAGUUGCGCCCGAAGCCUUUUGGCCGAGGGCACGUCUGCCUGGGUGUCAUGC